rnacentral:rRNA from 1 species
AGGAUAAACGCUGGCGGCGUGCCUAACACAUGCAAGUCGAACGCGCUUGCUAUCCGCGAGGAGGGUGAGCGAGUGGCGGACGGGUGAGGAACACGUGGGUGACCUACCUUUCAGUGAGGGAUACCGGCGAGAAAUUGCCGACAAGACCGCAUACGCUUCUCUUUUCAAGGGGAGAAGGAAAGCUUUUCGCAAGAGAGGCGCUGGGAGAUGGGCCUGCGGCCGAUUAGCUAGCUGGUGGGGUAAUGGCCUACCAGGGCGACGAUCGGUAGCUGGUCUGAGAGGACGAUCAGCCACACUGGGAUUGAGAACGGCCCAGACUCCUACGGGGGGCAGCAGUGAGGAAUUUUCGGCAAUGGGGGCAACCCUGACCGAGCAACGCCGCGUGCAGGACGACGGCCUUCGGGUUGUAAACUGCUUUUCUCUGGGACGAGCAAGGACGGUACCAGAGGAAGAGCCCGGCUACUACGUGCCAGCAGCCGCGGU